CGCCUGGGGAGUACGGUCGCAAGAUUAAAACUCAAAUGAAUUGACGGGGGCCCGCACAAGCGGUGGAGCAUGUGGUUUAAUUCGAUGCAACGCGAAGAACCUUACCUACUCUUGACAUCCAGAGAACCUUUUAGAGAUAAAAGGGUGCCUUCGGGAACUCUGAGACAGGUGCUGCAUGGCUGUCGUCAGCUCGUGUUGUGAAAUGUUGGGUUAAGUCCCGCAACGAGCGCAACCCUUAUCCUUGUUUGCCAGCACUUCGGGUGGGAACUCCAGGGAGACUGCCGGUGAUAAACCGGAGGAAGGUGGGGACGACGUCAAGUCAUCAUGGCCCUUACGAGUAGGGCUACACACGUGCUACAAUGGCAUAUACAGAGGGCUGCCAACUCGCGGGAGUGAGCGAAUCCCAUAAAGUAUGUCGUAGUCCGGAUUGGAGUCUGCAACUCGACUCCAUGAAGUCGGAAUCGCUAGCAAUCGUAUCAGAAUGCCACGGUGAAUACGUUCCCGGGCCUUGAACACACCGCCCGUC
rnacentral:rRNA from 1 species